rnacentral:rRNA from 1 species
GAUGAACGCUGGCGGCGUGCCUAAUACAUGCAAGUCGAGCGAACAGACGAGGAGCUUGCUCCCCUGACGUUAGCGGCGGACGGGUGAGUAACACGUGGAUAACCUACCUAUAAGACUGGGAUAACUUCGGGAAACCGGAGCCAAUACCGGAUAAUAUAUUGAACCGCAGGGAUCAAUAGUGAAUGACGGCUUUGCUGUCACUUAUAGACGGAUCCGCGCCGCAUUAGCUAGUUGGUAAGGUAACGGCUUACCAAGGCAACGAUGCGUAGCCGACCUGAGAGGGUGAUCGGCCACACUGGAACUGAGACACGGUCCAGACUCCUACGGGAGGCAGCAGUAGGGAAUCUUCCGCAAUGGGCGAAAGCUUGACGGAGCAACGCCGCGUGAGUGAUGAAGGUCUUCGGAUCGUAAAGCUCUGUUAUUAGGGAAGAACAAAUGUGUAAGUAACUAUGCACGUCUUGACGGUACCUAAUCAGAAAGCCCCGGCUAACUACGUG